rnacentral:rRNA from 1 species
AGAGCGAACGCUGGCGGCAUACUUAACACAUGCAAGUCGCACGGGCAGGGGCAACCCUGUCAGUGGCGGACGGGUGAGUAACGCGUAGGUAUCUAUCCUUGGGUGGGGGACAACCGUGGGAAACUACGGCUAAUACCGCAUGAUGACUGAGGUCCAAAGCCCGCGAGGGUGCCUGGGGAGGAGCCUGCGUACGAUUAGCUAGUUGGUGGGGUAAAGGCCUACCAAGGCGAUGAUCGUUAGCUGGUCUGAGAGGAUGAUCAGCCACAUUGGGACUGAGACACGGCCCAAACUCCUACGGGAGGCAGCAGUGGGGAAUAUUGGACAAUGGGCGCAAGCCUGAUCCAGCAAUGCCGCGUGUGUGAAGAAGGUCUUCGGAUUGUAAAGCACUUUCGACGGGGACGAUGAUGACGGUACCGUAGAAGAGCCCCGGCUAACUUCGUGCCAGCAGCCGC